UGUAUCGGAAGCCUGACGAGGAUGAGAACCUCCGGGGGCAGGAGGUUCGACCCGAGCGCAGCGAGAGAACGUUGCGUCAGCAACGGCCCGCAGGGCGAGCCACGCAGUGGCGAGUCAUCCUCUAUCACCGACCA
rnacentral:sRNA from 1 species